AUUGAACGCUGGCGGCAUGCUUUACACAUGCAAGUCGAACGGUAACAGGCCUUCGGGUGCUGACGAGUGGCGAACGGGUGAGUAAUGCAUCGGAACGUGCCCAGAGGUGGGGGAUAACGCAGCGAAAGCUGUGCUAAUACCGCAUGUGAUCUGAGGAUGAAAGCGGGGGACCAAGCAGCAAUGUUUGGCCUCGCGCCUCUGGAGCGGCCGAUGUCAGAUUAGGUAGUUGGUGGGGGAAAGGCCUACCAAGCCGACGAUCUGUAGCUGGUCUGAGGGGACGACCAGCCCCACCGGGACUGAGACCCGGCCCAGAAUCCUACGGGAGGCAGCAGUGGGGAAUGUUGGACAAUGGGCGCAAGCCUGAUCCAGCAAUGCCGCGUGCGGGAAGAAGGCCUUCGGGUUGUAAACCGCUUUUGUACGGAACGAAAAGGCUCUGGCUAAUACCUGGGGCUGAUGACGGUACCGUAAGAAUAAGCACCGGCUAACUACGUG
rnacentral:rRNA from 1 species